rnacentral:tRNA from 1 species
GCCUCUUUGGUUCAGUCGGUUAGAGCGCAAGUCCCAUAUAUGAACAUUGGGAGCUGCGUAAUGUGAUCUUGAGGUCGAAAGUUCGAAUCUUUCAAGUGGCA